rnacentral:tRNA from 1 species
UUUUUUCUUAUUUUAUUAUAAUUAAAAUAGGUUUUUGAUAAAAACCAAAAUAAUGAAAAAAG